ACACGUAGGAGGCAAGCGUUAUUCGGAUUUAUUGGGCGUAAAGCGCGUGCAGGCGGUUUGGAAAGUUGGAUGUGAAAGCUCCCGGCUUAACUGGGAGAGGUCGUUCAAUACUUCCAGACUCGAGUAUGGGAGAGGGAGGUGGAAUUCCGGGUGUAGUGGUGAAAUGCGUAGAUAUCCGGAGGAACACCAGUGGCGAAAGCGAUUUUCUGGACCGAUACUGACGCUCAGACGCGAAAGCUAGGGUAGC
rnacentral:rRNA from 1 species